CUUGAGUGAGCCCAGCAGCAACGGUCGGUCGGUGUCGCGGUCUUGGCCGUAGGUGGCGAGGAUGGCCUGGGCUUC
rnacentral:antisense_RNA from 4 species